rnacentral:rRNA from 1 species
CACCUGUUUAUCAAAAACAUGGUUUUAUGAUUAUAUUUUAAGAUUUAUUCUGCUCAAUGAUAAUAUAUAAAUUAUUAAAUAGCCGCAGUAUUUUGACUGUGCAAAGGUAGCAUAAUCAAUUGUCUUUUAAUUAAAGACUGGAAUGAAGGAAUGAAUGAAAUUUAAACUGUCUAUGAUAAAAAAUUAAAAUUUAAAUUUUAAGUUAAAAUGCUUAAAUGGAAUUAUGGGACGAGAAGACCCUAUAGAAUUUUAUAUAAAUUUUUAAAUUAUUAAAUGAGUAAAAAGAUUAAAUUUAAAAUUAUAUUUUAUUGGGAGGAUAAUUAAAUUAAUUUAACUUUAUUAAUUAAUAUUAAAUAUAUAUAUAUAUAUAUAUAUAUAUAUAUAUAUAUAUAUAUAUAUAUAUAUAUAUAUAAACAUUAAUUUAUGAAAUAAAUGAAUAAAUUUUUUAUUGAAUUUAUAUAAGAAUUAAUUACCUUAGGGAUAACAGCGUUAUAUUUUUUAAAAGAUCAUAUUAAGAAAAAUGUUUGCGACCUCGAUGUUGAAUUAAAGUAAAAAUUAAAUGAAGAAGUUUAAUAUUUUAGUCUGUUCGACUAUUAAAAUUUUACAUGAUUUGAGUUCAAAUCGACG